rnacentral:sRNA from 1 species
GAUACCAGGGUACCAAAGUCUUUACCCACAUUGAGCUUGCUCAAAUGUGGGUAUAAGACCUUGGGACCCGCCCCAAUAUUCGCAUAAAAGCGGGACGAUAGUCUCGCGAUAUGCGAAUAUUGGGUAGGAUUGCGAGAGCACGAAGUGCGCAGCAAUCCGUAGGUAUC